AAGCCAGAUUAGAAAAGGCAAGGGCCGCAUGCGUCCUUCUGGACUUGUGAUUGGCCAGUUGAGAAGUUGAUCCUACGCGUAUAUAAGGCCUUCCUGAUGGGCUACCCCCAUUUCACGUAACUGCGUUGGAACAAAUACGUAUGUGGUGGGCUGUGGGUAUGGUCCAUUUCCAAUGGAAACAGUCUCUGCCCUGAGAUCAGUUCUUUAUUGAUUCCCGAAUUAUCUCCCACUGUCAGAAAAUAAACAUGUAGAGUGAUUUUUGAAAAGAUCAUCAGAGAUGCCACCAUGGAACCUCCCAGCUGAUUCCUCCUGGAUGUGAGCUACAGACUUCCCAAUAUCAUCAGCCUUGGAAAAGAUCCAUUGACAGGUAAAUAGCAUGAAAACUGCCUUGGAUUAUAAGAUGCCCAGCUGAUGUCUGCUGCAGAACUGAUUGCUUGAUGGCUGUUGUUUUUCAGAAGCAGAACAGGUAACAGAUGUGACCCAAAAAAGCUAAACAUGAAAACAGGACCUGACACCAUGAUGACUGAAGAUAAAAUGUCAAAAUGUCAACUCUUAUCCUGUAUCUUUGUUUUACAUUCCUUGACUCUGUUAUAAAUUAACCCAUGAUUGUAUCUAAUCUGCCCUUUUCUAGUUCUUAAAAACUCCUAACCACCUCCAAAUGGGUGUGUGAUUCUUGAGUUUUACUCUCAUCUUCCCCUUG